rnacentral:rRNA from 1 species
GACGAACGCUGGCGGCGUGCUUAACACAUGCAAGUCGAACGAUGAAGCCGGAGCUUGCUCUGGUGAAUUAGUGGCGAACGGGUGAGUAACACGUGAGUAACCUGCCCUUGACUCUGGGAUAACUGCGGGAAACUGUAGCUAAUACCGGAUAGGACCCUCGGAGGCAUCUCCUGGGGGUGGAAAGAAUUUCGGUCAAGGAUGGACUCGCGGCCUAUCAGCUAGUUGGUGAGGUAAAGGCUCACCAAGGCGACGACGGGUAGCCGGCCUGAGAGGGUGACCGGCUACACUGCGACUGAGACACGGCCCAGACUCCUACGGGAGGCAGCAGUGGGGAAUAUUGCACACUGUGCGCAAGCCUGAUGCAGCAACGCCGCGUGAGGGAUGACGGCCUUCGGGUUGUAAACCUCUUUUAGUAGGGAAGAAGCGAAAGUGACGGUAGGUGCAGCAGAAGGACCGGCCAACUACGUGCCAGCCGCCGCAGUAA